AAAAUGAACAUUGUGAAUAGGGUCAAUAUCAUGAGUUUUAUAUCGGAUAGGAAAUGAUCCAUGAUUGUAUCCACUGUCUUGUUUCUUUUUUUCUUCUUUUCCUUGUUUAUUGCGCGGUUUUGGGCCAAUUUCUGUAAAUC
rnacentral:ribozyme from 11 species